rnacentral:rRNA from 1 species
UGAUCCUGGCUCAGGACGAACGCUGGCGGCGUGCCUAAUACAUGCAAGUGGAACGCAUGAUUGAUACCGGAGCUUGCUCCACCAUUAAUCAUGAGUCGCGAACGGGUGAGUAACGCGUAGGUAACCUGCCUCAUAGCGGGGGAUAACUAUUGGAAACGAUAGCUAAUACCGCAUAACAGUAUUUAUCGCAUGGUAAAUGCUUGAAAGGAGCAACUGCUUCACUAUGAGAUGGACCUGCGUUGUAUUAGCUAGUUG